rnacentral:rRNA from 1 species
CCUACGGGAGGCAGCAGUGAGGAAUAUUGGUCAAUGGGCGCGAGCCUGAACCAGCCAAGUAGCGUGAAGGAUGACUGCCCUACGGGUUGUAAACUUCUUUUAUAAAGGAAUAAAGUGAGGCACGUGUACCUUGUUGUAUGUACGUUAUGAAUAAGGAUGGGCUAACUCCGUGCCAGAAGCCGCGGGAAUACGGAGGAGCCGAGCGUUAUCCGGAGUUAGUGGGUUGAAAGGGAGCGUAGAUGGGUUGUUAAGUCAGUUGUGAAAGUUUGCGGCUCAACCGUAAAAUUGCAAUUGAUACGGGCAGUCUUGCGUACAGUUGCGGUCGGCGGAAUUCGUGGUGUAGCGGUGAACUGCUUCGAUAUCACG